CCCCCCCCCCCCCGCCUUUUUCGAUGGGGAGAUGCUGCACCGAAUGCCACUAUGGCGGCCGACGUUCACACUGCGCCUGCGCAACUCCCGGGGGUCGUGUCACUCUUCCUUCACCCCCCCCCCCCUUUUUUUUUUCCUCUCUGACUUUUCAAGCCUCGCUCUCUCCUUCCUCUUCCUGGCCCCGCCUCCUGUUGCAUCAUCAGUCUCCUCCUACCUCAUUCCCUCUCUCUCUUGCUCUCGCUCUAGCUGGCACUUCUUUUGCGCCCUGUUUCGCUCGUGCCUCUUUCGACUCCAGCCUCGCGCAAGGGGGAAAACUUAGAGUGGUAGAGAAAGAGGGGGAAGGGGAGAAAAGGAGAGCGGGAGAGGGAGGCGAGCAGGCUUUGGGGGCGUGAGGGGUAGUCUGCUGCUAUUUCUACAGUCCGGGCCUCCCCAGCCGCCGUCGCUCUCCCGCCCACCCUUCAUAGGCUGAGUUUUGUUUUUUUUCUCCCCCCUCCGCUCGCCACUCGUUUGGAUUUUAACCCUCUGCCUCCAACUUGCAGCUCUUGCAAAAUAAGCUGGCAACAAGUUGGCCUUUUUCGCGCAGUUUUUUUUUUUUUUUGGGCGCACACAGUUUUUUACCACCACCCCCGAUUCCUGCGCUCUUGGAUCUUGCUGCCUUCGACGCAUGCAUUUUCGAACAUUUUAUUUGCUGGACAAAAAAAAACCAAGACUAUUUUUCUGUAUUUUGUUGAUGUUUUAUGAACAUUUGGAUCAGAAAUGGAGGUUUCUCGCCGCCGCCAUUGCUAGCUGGAUCAGUGGUGGUGGUGGUGGUGGGGGGGGGCGUCUAACCUGCACGCCAUCCUGACGACCACGACGAAGGCAAGGGGGGAAGCGUGGGCCCAUCUUCGACGAGAUCCAGCGUUUGUCCCUCCUCUUCAUCGUCCUCCGCCUCCCGUCUUGCGGCUUCGUUCCGUCCUUUGCGCGCCGCGCAACUCCUGACACGCAGGCGGACGAGCAGCUUUGGGCCGAGCCGAGCCGCCAGAGCGUUUUUCUGGGACGGCUGCCAAGUGCAAAUAAAAGAGGCCAAAAAGCGACGAGGAGUAGAAAGCGUUCGUAACUGUGCAUUUCAGUUUUUUUUGGGGGGGGGGGGGGGAGUAGGAUAGGGGGUGGCUUUUCUUGCAUCAGAAGGCCUUCCUCGUAUGUUGUGUCCAAUUUGUGCACUUCUAGCCGUGUGCGUGUGCUUCGAUUUAGCUGGCCGGGCUGCAGCUUUGAAUACUCUUCGCCGAAGAAGUGAAGGCAUCUCUCGCCAGAGACGAAAGAGUGCGAGAGUACAAACCGUUUUCAUUUUUCACGAGUGGAGCCGUAAGACGGAAGCGGCCCCAGACGGCAUCACGCCGCGUCCGGUUUUUCGCAUGCAUCAGACACUGCGUUUUUAUUUGCCGACGUUCCUCAUUGCUCACAGAAGCCACAUGGCCUCCUAUUGUUUUAGGCCAAACUUGAACUUGAAGCGGAGGGGUGUGGGGGGCUGGGGGGGUGCAGCCAAGGCCCGGAGCUGAGAUUGCGGUUCGGAACCGGGAGAUGGUGGAAGAGGAGAGGAGCAAGACGGGUCGGGGGGGGGACGCAUGGUUCGGCAGUCUCGGAAAAGAGUCGUCGAACUCCGCCGCCCCGGAAGACGGGAGGUUUGAGUCAUAACAUCAGCGAGAGGCCCAAAGCGGCGGAGACAGCCACUGACGCACUUUCGGUCGUGGAGCUGCUGCCGAGCGGCGCUGAGGUUCUACUUCAUGGUGCAGAGGAGGUGAGAAACACAUUGUGUAAGCACAUACCAAGUGAGAAGUCACGAGUACUGCAAUGGCAAAUGGUUUUCGCCGACAAGACCGUUGGGGUGUACGUUUGAGCUGUGCGUCCCUACUGGUUCUGUAUGUGGUCACUGGUCAGUUCGGUCAAAUGGAAUCCAAGGCCUGAAAUAUAUUGUUGACCAUUUCAGAUGCAAGAUGCACGGUCAGACGUUGAACAGAACACGUAGUGAUUUACAAAGUGAAAAAUGUUAUUCUUUGUAUGGUGGAUGCCGAGAUAUAAAUAUAUAAACCACACACGUGCGCACACACGCACGCACGCACACACACACACACACUCACACACAUAUAUAUCACAAUUUUAAUAAUCACGCAGAGGAAAUAGAAAAUGCAGUUUCUAAAUGCCAAAAUACAGUAUGAAAAUAUCAAAAUGAAGAUUUAGUACAGUGAAUUUGCUCGAAUGGAUUAAUAAGAUAAGAUAUCCUUUAUUCGUCCCACACUGGGGAAAUUUACAGCCUCCAGCAGCAAGAAUGUAUGUAGAAAGAAGAAAGGAGAAAGAGAAAAAAAAAACAACAAACAUCUUUCAAUUAAAUACAAUAUGAACACAAAUAGAUAAAUCGCAGUACUAUUUAAUGGCAUUUGCCUCUUGAAAGAAAUGCGAGUCAACCAAGGUAAUCCCACUUGGCUACAUUCGAUCGGUCGCAUUUAGUUUAGACGUGGCCAUUGUUUCAUACGUGGUGUCGAGUAACAUGUUUUUGUGUGUCAAAAGCGGGCAACAGCAGCACAGAUGAGCGGAUGCAGAGAAUAUUUACACACUGUCCUUUGGGGUGAGGUAGUAGGUUGUAUAGUUUUAGGGUCACACCCUUCCUGUUAGAUAACUAUACAACUUACUGUCUUUCCUGAAGUGACUGUAAUGUCGUCUGAUUGGAUCCCCUCCCAGGACCGCCGAUGACGUUUUCUAAGCGGCAGCGCUCCCCAACGGUGUAUCCCUGUAACUGCACUUUGCUUUUCUUUGCACUCGUCGACCUUUGUUCCCUCAGCACGGGAUGUUUUUUUCUUCUUCUUCAUUGCCAUUUGUAUUUGUUUGCAUGCACGUGGUGUGUCUUUGCUCAUGUGAUGUUCCGCAAUGUUCCUGAUGUUCGUACGGGGUGAGGUAGUAGGUUGUGUGGUUUCAGGGUAGUGAUAGUGCCCAAUCAGGAGAUAACUAUACAACCUACUGCCUUCCCUGAAGGGCAGCAAUACGCCACCGGGCAGACUUGACAUUUGCCUCCCCCAAAGGCUGCAACUCUUCAUGAUGAAGUCACCAAACUGUGAGGUUUGUACAAUCGUUUUUUUCCCCCCUGAAAAUGUUAAUAAAAAUUAUGAAAACC